UACAGAGGGGGCGAGCGUUGUUCGGAAUUACUGGGCGUAAAGGGCGCGUAGGCGGCCAACUAAGUCGGACGUGAAAUCCCCUGGCUCAACCAGGGAACUGCGUCCGAUACUGGAUGGCUCGAAUCCGGGAGAGGGAUGUGGAAUUCCAGGUGUAGCGGUGAAAUGCGUAGAUAUCUGGAGGAACACCGGUGGCGAAGGUGGCAUCCUGGACCGGUAGUGACUAUGAGGCGCGAAAGCCAGGGGAGCAAACGGG
rnacentral:rRNA from 1 species